UGGCAAACGCAAUAGCUAAACAGGAAGGUUUAACCGAACAAGAUGGGAAUAUCGAGUGAUAACAAAAACACAACACCAAAGUUCUUUUCAGAACCAUCAACAUAUUCAUAAAGAGUAAACAGUAAACUAAUCCAUUUUUCAGGUAGAUAGGUAGGUAUUCACGUAGGAGAAGAAAAUAAAACAAUAUAUUUAAAAUAUAUAUUUAACAAAAGCUGUCCCCUUUGUAUAGCCCUACGUCACUCCGGUUAUGUCCCCGACAUUAUCCACCCGUCUUUUUUUGGAGCAGCAUUAUUUUAUUCUAUUCACUUGUAAAUCGCUCCUGAUAUCAUAGAAUAAUGUAUCGAAAUUUUAGAAACAUCUCUUUAGUAGUUUGCUUUGAUUGCCAAUGCUCGGAAUUUCUUCAUAUUACGUCAGCUUAUGAAGGGAUCUAUUGCGGACAUUCCCCCGCAAACCGAUUUCAAAAAUCUUGAUUUGGCUAAGAGCUUUGAGCAUAGAAGUAAAACAACUCAAACUCGAGUACCCGAGAUGCCUAGGUAUUAAUUUGGCACCCCAUUUUUUUUAUUUUUUCAAAUUAAAAGAAUCAUUCUGAAAUCACUGAAAAAUGUAUUUUUUGACAUUUUCAUACAAAAUAGAAGUGGAGUACACUAUCUUACGUAAAUUAACUAAAUUUUGACGAAAAAGCAUGCAACUUUACAAAACAAAGAGGAACAAAAAAAAAUGAUUUUUUCAAGAAAAAGUGAAAAAAAUUCAUCUCGAUUUAUUUCUAGCUAAACAAAUAAAACGCAAGCGUAGUAAUCAGUCUCGCAAUCGGUGCAGGCGGAAUGGGCCCAUGGAUUACGUUUACAUUGGGGUGCCAAAUUACCCGCAUACCGAAUUUUCUCUUUGGAAUGAAAUCUAUGAAAUUUGUAAUUAAAAUCUCGAUACACUUACUCGAAUUUGUUGAAGAACAUCAAUUUCUUGAUCCAAAUCAGCUUUAAUAAUUGAAAUCGGCUCACUAUUCGAUUUUUAAUUAUUUUUCAUGAAAAAUUUUCGAGAUUUCAAAAACAACAAAACUUGAAUUUUUUGUUAAAAACACAGAUAUUUUGGGUUUUUGGCAUCUGACGUUUGUUACUAUAUUACUAGAACACUUUUUGACGUAGGACUACGUCUAACCGGAAGAUAUAGGGGGUGAAAUGAAAAUCUAGGCACUGAACAAGUAGGAAAAAAUGCAAGAUUUGGAACGCUUAUAACUCGAGCAUUUCUCAAUAGAUCGCAAAGGUUUUUGCAUCAAUUGAUAGGAAAUAUAUCUACGCAUCUAUCAUAACGAAUAACAUUUCAUUUUUCUUGAGAUAAAUAAUUGAUUAAUUGUGAAAUAUCAAGCAUUGUCCAAAUGCACUAUGUGCCCAUUUUUGAUUGGUCCAUUUUGUGCUCCUCAAAUCGUACCGACCAAAACGGGCAACCACAGCAGCAGCGAAAUACAAUGAAGCACGAUUGGAAAGGAAAAAGAAAAAAUAUGAACGAAACAUUGGUCGCAGUCUCACACAUGUGUAAUUCUCGAGCCAGCCAGUCAGCUUAAAAAUCCCCGCUUCGCUGCCGUAACGAUCAUUCUCAUUCAAACCGUACACCACAUCAGUUCAGAGAAGUUCGUACAUUUAACGCGACGUGCCGAAGUUCCGCUCAGUGUCGCAUUGGAGGCUAUUUUAACCUGUAAUUGAACAUUUGCGAUGACAGUGGUACAGUGUCGACUUUCAAUGUGGGGUCAUAAUUUGUACCCCGAACUCUAUGUUUACAAAAAUGUCCAACUAAAUAUGUCGCAUUACUGGUCCGUCAAAUUAGCUAAAUGUCGAGCUAAAUGUAAAUUACUGUACUUUCAAUCUAGAAGCAAUUUAAGAAUUGAUGAAAAUUGAAUAAUCAGGAAAGUCCCCAACCAUCAAUAAGCUCAGCACAACUGCCAAAUUCUCAUACUCAUCAUUUACUGUACAACAUGUCACAAGCAGGAUGGGAGAAAUUUUCCAACUGUGAAGGCUGUGGCGAGUGGCAAUCGCUAAACAGGAAGGUUUAGCCGAACAAGAUGGGGAUAUCGAGUUAUAACAAAACAAUAAACUCUUUAGAUUAAAGAUAAUUUUGUGAUCCUGAAAAGGGCCCCUUUUAGCCGGUAUGUGAAUCCAACGAGCGAACAAAUCGUAAUGAAUGUAUUUUUUUUUGUCAUCGCUGCCUUUUAACGCUCAUUCGUUCGUCUCGUUGGGCUCGGCCCUUUGGCUGAGUCUGCCGAUUUGUCUCUAUCCUGUGAGCGUGUACCGCUAAAGUACAAGGAAGGAAGGAAGGUCUUGUAUUAUAGAGACUUUAAACUUUUGCAGUUCAUUCGUCUCUAGCCUUGAGAAAGGCCCUUUGAAAACUCUACUCACCGACUGGACAACAUCGUUACUGGACGGCGAGGGAUCGAGUGCCUUUCUCAAGGCAAGAGGGCGGAGGUGGUAGCGCUGGAGUAGAGUAAUAGAGUAGAGUAGAGUUUUCAAAGGGCCUUUCUCAAGGCUAGAGACGAAUGAACGGCAAAAGUUUAAAGUCUCUAUUAUACAAGACCUUCCUUCCUUCAAACCAUAAAUCAGUGUGGUUGUAUGGCAUCGUUUCACAUCACAUCGCAACAAUGGAUUGGUGCCGGAGCACCAGUAAACCUAAUAGUGGUUAUAAAAUUUCGGCCGCCGGAGUGCUCGAGUUGGCUUGCAAAGCUGCUCACGACAAUAAGAAAACCCGCCUACAGAACAGAGCACAUUUGAUUCGGUGGCAACAACUAGUUUCAGCGAGUGGCAAACGCAAUCGCAAAACGGCAGCAGCUAAAAAAAGGAAAAAGUUUGUUUAUACAGACUGCUUUGGUGGAAAAACCAGCCACCGUAAAGCACGGCGCUUUUCAGGGCCAUUAAACCUUUCAAAGAAGAGUUAUUAAAAGUUAUUUACAAUACCAAUGCAUUCUAAAGUGACAUAAUAUGAUAUAUAAUAUGAUCUGAUUUAUUUUGUUUAUGCUUGUUUUUGUACUUAUUGGUGGUUGGGGUCUUUUAAGUAGAUCAUUAAGUUUUCACAAACCCAUGCAUUGUUCCCGAAUUGAAAGUGGCUUCAAAUUACAACACAUUGGAUGCAGGAUGGCAUCAACGAAUUUUCUCGGUAGCAAGAACUGCUUUCUUUGGUUGAUAACUGAUGUUGAAAAUUGACUGAGGUUACAUCUGCAUUGUAUAGAAACAUAACUAAGGAGCAACAUGAUGAGCUAUGUAUUUCCUGCUGCUCUGUUCUUAUUUUAAAGAACUUCAAUCCGAAGGUCAUCCGUCCCUGUAUUCACUGUUGGUUUUUCAGAACGCUUAUAGCUCAUCUAUUUCUCGACAGAUCGUAGAGUUCGUCUCCAAAACCUCAGUUCUUUUUCAUUUUUAUUUACUUUGUUUGCGGAGACUACAAAUCUUACAAUUCAUUCGUUUCCGAAACGAAAAGUUUAAGGUACGGUAAUGUGCUCAAUAGUGAAAUAUAUGAUAGUGAAUAAGCUGAGGACCACUAUGCAUUCCCUAUCAUAGCCAUCAUUUUGAUUGUACGAUAUGUACAUACGCCAAAAGAUGCCCGGCGUUGAACAUUUAAUAAGUACAAAGCCUUCAGAAAAAUAUCAAGAAGCAAUUAUAAGAUAGUGAGAAAAAAUUGAGAAUGUUUGUAAAAAAAAACGCAUAAACACAACAUCAAAGGUUCUUUUCAGAACCUUCAACAUGUUCAUAAAGAGUAAACAGUAAACUAAUCCAUUUAUCAGUUAGUCACGUAGGAGAAGAAAAUAAAACAAUAUAUUUAAAAUAUAUAUUUAGCAAAAGCUGUCCCCUUUGUAUAGUCCUACGUCACUCCGGUUAUGUCCUCGACAUUACCCACUCGUCUUUUUUUUUUAUUCACCAGCAGAGUUCGCUCAUUACCGCAGGAGAUCCGGGUGGGUACCAAAUUACCCACGGUGUACCGAGUUUGUACCAAUUCCUCUACAACUCCACCUGCGAAUGACGGAUCUUUUUUUGUGAAAAGUGGUAGUUUAUAUUUUUAUUUUCUGAGCUAGUUUUCUUUGAAAAGAAUAUUACAUUUGCAAAAAAAAUUGUAAUGGGUUGUAUCUAAGACACGACCGCAGUUUUCGGCGUAGAACUACGGAAUUAUAUUAUUCGAUCCACUUGUUUAUCACUUCGGAUAUUAUUAGUGUAGUGUAGAGAAUUCAUCGAAAUUUUUGUAGUAUUUUUUAGCUACUUACUUUUUAUCCACUUCAGUAGAAUCGAAAGAGUCGAGUAGAGUCGAAAGCUAUCAGCACUUCUCGUUUAUUUGGUUCAACUCGUAUCAGACUUUCUCCUUCCCACUCAGAUAUCGAUCACAAACUAUCAACCCUUUUGCUCCUAUAUUCCGCUUGAGAUGUGAUCGAAUCCCACAACAUGCAACAGUAAGGUUACCCUACUGGAAUUUGAAAGCAUACUUUCAUGAAAUAUACGUUUAUCUGAAUAAAUGCAGUGUAUAUCUAAAUCCCGGUUUCUGGAUACUCUUCCACAUCCGCACCAGCACAAAAGAUCCUCGUAUGCUGCUAUUCUUUGUCGUAGCGCACUUCGAUAUAGAGGGCUUCCUCUCCUUGUAUCGAGCUGUGUGUGUGUGUCAGCAUUAGACAUGAAUGAUAUUCGCUCGUUGUGUUAUGCUAACUAACUCGCAUCUGAGUUUUAAUUCUAUUCUAUUUUUGGUUUCCGCCUCUAGCCCUGCGAAAGGCCUUGUGGAAAAAAACUAUAUUUCAUACUCCUCCUUCACCCGGCAAGAAAACAAUCCUCUCCCGCUCGCCGCUCUGCGGCAACCAUAUUGCUUCGAUGACCACCAAACGAGAAGUGGUGUGGCUUCAAAUCGCGGUUAGCUUACGGAUGUAUCGGUUGCUCAUUUUUGACAGCUCUGUUCGGGAAUGCACUCAAAUCGGCAGAACAAAUGUUUGGCAAAAUGGGAAUGCUUCCAGCUUUCAUUAAUUACUGUUUAGGCAUUAAUGAAUUAUACUGUAUAGUAUAUCAAACGAAUCUUAGAGAAUUUCCGAUUCCAUUGGUGUGCAAAGUAUCAGAUUUUGUCCGCCGUGAAAAUAGUUAUUAACGUUAACUUUUUCUCACAAAAACGUGACGAAAACGUUUUUUGAUUUGGCACCCUUCAUGAAAGCCGUAGUUCUACGUCAAAAAAAUUGAUUUUAUUUUCGUAAUUAUUUAUUAUUUUGGUUUUUAUAGUUUACAGGGCUUUGGACUAGAGAGCGCUAGAUGUUUUUAUAUUUUUUUCUAGAAAGCUGAGUUUUUUUACACGCUACUGAUGCGUAUCGUUAAGUUAGUAGCAUCUUUUGGAAGAACACACCAAGUUUCAGUUAGAUCGGUCUGUUGCUUCGUCUGAAUCGAGGAAAUCGAGCGAUUUGUUCCAUUACGACAACCCUCAACCGAGGGUUGCGAGGUGAACUUAGGACUACCAUUGGCUUAACAAUCAAUAAGUAUCACACUUUUAGCCAUUUCAUCUUUCGAAUAAAGUGAUUAUCAUACCACUUCCUUAAGCCGGAUAAUUAUUACAUUAUAUGUUAUUAACACAUUUCGUUGGAACACAAAUAGUUAGAAUUUCAACAAGAUACAUUCAUACAUUGUUGAAUGCUUUGAAUAAAGUAUAUUUAACGUCAAUUUCGUUCAGAAAAGUUAUUUGUUUAUUUAUUGUGCUUCAAUAUGAUAAUUUCAACUGUCCAGUUAUAAAACCGUUUGAAAAUUCAAUGUUAUUCAAUGUGUUAUCAAUGCAAAAUUAAAAACGAUCGACUGAUUCAAAUAUCAAUAAUUAGCAACCUGAAAUGGCAAGGUUAACUAAUUAUGCCAAUAACCUGGACAAUUCGUGUUGUCAUACUAUUUACCUAAUUCUGCUUAACGGAUUUCUCGAUAUUUUUCCAUGUUUUCGAAAUUGCGACCUUGAGCUCUUCAAUCUUGGUGUACCGUUUUACCUUAGUGUAAAUUCUGCGUACAAGGAUCCCCAUAAUAUUUGUAACAGAAUUCAAGUCUGGAGAGCGAGCCGGCGAAUCCGAAAAAUUGAGUUUUUGAUCGCUAAUCCAUUGCUCAGUUUCCUUGCUGGUAUGAAUAGUAGGCAUUGUUUUGCUGGAAUGUGAUUUUUUUGUGACGAUAUACAUGCAUAAUCGGUAGGAGAAAGGAUUCCAAAAUAUGUAUGUAAUUCGGUUGCACAGAAUCCCGCCCAAACCAUGCACGAGCCUUCACCGAAAUUCCUGGUUGAAAAAUACUCAUACUUCUUCCGUAAAUCACGCCAGUAUCCGUUGAAACCAUCAGGCCCAUCCAAAUUGAACAUGUUUUCGCCGCCGAAAAUAACCUAUACAUUGAACAACUUUUCGUUAUGGUAUAUAGCAAAAUUUAUUCUUUUGGGAUGAUUCUUUGUCACAACAUACCAUGUCCCAUGGUCGGUUCAUGUGAGCUUUGGGAAAACUCAGGCGUCUUCCGAUGUGAGAUAGUGUAAUAUGAGAAGCUUUAACCUUUUAUCCCGUUUUCAUGUGAAGAUUUUUUACCAAAAAUUGACGAAUUGUCACCCGAAUAACAUUUGAAAUGAUUUUGAGGUUUUCGAAGCUGUUCUAGCGAUUUCCUGCUUAUCCCAGUCAGGGAGCUUCGAUAUCUGUGGAAAUCUCUCCUCCUUACCGUAUCCUUGAGGAAUCACCAAAUAAUUGAGCUCUACUUGAUGGAAUCAUCCAAUCCGACGAGCAAUUUCUCUGAUACCAACAUUAUCUUGGUAAAGUGCAUCAAUUUGUCUUUCUUCUCUCUCCGUGAGCACUUUUUCCUUCGUCAUUUUUCAGAUAUAUUAAUAGAAACCACAAAAACAACAGAAAAUGUAACUGGUCUUGUAGAAGUACAAAAACAUUUGUUUACGCUCAGCGUUUGUACACACACAUAUGAAAAUCAUACAAUGUAUGGUAGUCACCAAUACCUACACACUAGAUUAUAAAUUGAAGCAAUGUUUGUUUGCAAUGACACAAAGAAAUAAGAUCAUCACCUAGUCUCAUAGAAGUUGGACAGAGUGUACAUUUCACCUUUUGAAUAAAAUGAUUACCAUACCAUUUCGUUUAGCUGGAAUAUAAUUAUUAACGCUCAAAGGAGGAAUCGAUUUCAUCUCGGAAAUACCUUUGCACAAAUAAUACUCCCUUCCCGCCAAUUGGGAUCAUCGAUCGAUUGUGGCAUUCGUCAACAAAUGAUACUACAACUGCAGCCUUCAUCAAACAAUGGGCCUGAUUUUCGAAUACACUUCACGGUGGGAACGAAAUAAACGGCACGCCAUUGAGCUACGUUUUACGAGUUAGUGAAGUGUCGAAGAUAAUAAUGAGUUUUCAGGCAGAAUGAGCACUUUUCAAAUAAAAAAUCAUUAAUGAAAAUUAACUUCUUCGUAUCAGACUGGUGAUGUGGUUAAUGUGAGUGGAAAACUUUGUUUUCUUCAUGUGAUAUAAUAAUCUCAUACAAAAAUGUCAUCUGAAGAUAAUUUGAUAUUAUAAUGAUAAGUUUAGUGGGAAACUAAUCUAGUAUCCAGAUGUCGACACCGUACCGUUGUUAUCGCGGAUACGUUUCAUUCCGUUUCCAAUGUGGUUUCUUUGAUAUGGUGUAAUAUCCACUACACAUAACACAUAUACAUCCACUAUUUCAUAUUUUACAGUAUCGAAUCCAUAGCCAAUGUCACCAUUUGUACACAAUCUAUAUCUAACUGUCAUCGAUAAUUCAUGUUUGGCGGAGUGCUCCAUUCAGUCCGGCUGUACAAAUGCAUAGGCGUGCGAGCGUGACCAUCCUCAUCUCACAUCACAAUUACAACUAAGUGGAUUUCCGAGCGAGUGCCAGUUAAUAUACAGAUUUGUGUGAUUUCAUAGAACUGUUUCCAAGUCAAUUUUCAACCUGUUGAAACAAUUUUUCGAGUUAAUAAGUAACAAUCAUAUAAAUCUUAGACAUUUUAUCUUUCGAAUGAAGUGAUUUUCAUACCACUUUGUUCAGUCGUCAGAGUUAUUAACGUUCAAAAUCUUGUACUCCAAGUGUCACGCUCUCGUUUUCGAAAAUUUCGAAACUUACACCCCGAUAUACACUGGAGAAAAACUUUAGUAAAUGCAGCUACCAAAUCUUUAGUAGUCGAAACAUUUUUAAAAUGUACAAAUUUUUUGUAAAUAUUACAAAAACUUUGUUAAACUGAUGUCAGAUGCAAUGUACACCCCUACCAAUGAUUCGUACAUUUUACUUCAUAGCAUAUGUAACCUUGAGUAAUUUCAUUUCUGGCAACUGUGUGUAUGCAACCGCCAUUUCUCUAAUGGAAGCGAAGCGAUACCGAGCUUAAAAUCGUAGAAAUCUAUAGCAACGGUUUCACGCAGCCAUCGCAACCAACAGCAGCAAUUGACCGCCUCUCGAUCGAUUCGUUGUUCCAGGAAACGAUGAAUAUCAGUUGGGCCAAUCGUACCGUCAGCAGCAAGGAAACCAACAACAACCGUUUUACACUGAGCAAUCAACAGCGACCGAUUCGGACAACAUUGACUCGGAUGGAAGCAGCAGCAACAGCGCAGAUUGUCGGUGUUUGCAGCAAAAACUCCACUAGCUGAUGAACGAUAUGCUACGGCGAAAGUAUCACAAUUUGAAACACAUCGUCCCGACAACAUUAAUUCUACAGCAGUACUUGGCGACGGCAUCCAGCGAAAACCAUCAUCAUCACUACCACCGACAGCAGUCCACUAAUCCUUCCAUCGAAGGAUCGGAGGGAAAGCGAUAUGUGUCCCAUUUGUGACACAAUUUCCUCCACAAAUCACGACUUUACGGAGCUCAACAACAGAAAAUCCGCGUCUGAGGAUGAUGGGGAGAGUCAGUUUGCGUGGUAAAUUUGCUUCAAGCCGCUUCGUUACUGGAUCGGUACAUGCUGCCUCCGCUCGAAUUUAGAGCGUCACAUCAAGCAGAAACAUCCUUAAUUCUGGUCGUAUUGUCAGCGCGGAGGCAGAGAUCCAAAUCCAUCGUCGACAUGGCAGAAAAAAAUCGUAUAAAGCCUAGCGCCAAACCGAGUCAACUGCCCCUACCGGCAUGUUCCCCUCGGACAACAACAUCAGCAUAGGAUCAGAAAACAACAGUCCACUGGAGAAAACUGCUAUCUCUUCGAAGGUGUUGCCCAUGACAGAUUCCACCGUGAAGAAGUAUUUUUCUGAUAUCGAACUCUAGGGGGGAGGGUAUUGGAAAAUCGAAAAUAAUCACAUCCAAUGUGCAGUGGUUCAAAGCUAACAUGUGGAUGAGUGGAGAAUUCUAUCAAAUUUAAAGAACAAGUACUAUCAAUUUUGAUCUACAAUGGUCAAUCCGCAUGUGACUGAACUGGAAGAUUUUUUUCACUAUGCAGCUUCCAUUGGGAUUUCCAGUAAAAAUAGAAAUAACGCUGUUCCAUGUGUUGAACGCGGUUGUCAUAUUUAGCAACGUAUUCGAAUAAGAGACAUCCGUGACCAAUGUGAGCAACAUCAAAGAAAGCGAAGAGCGUACGGCAUGCAUUAUCGAGGUUCACUGUUUCGAUGUCCCGUUCGAGUACGUACGACGGGGAGUCGAUUUCCGGCGUCAAAUCAUCUUCCAAGAUGAGAACGAAUUGAUGCAAUUUGCGAUCCAGCAAAAUUUCGCGACUGUCCGAAAAGGCACACUUUUGAGUACUGUGAUACCCAACUCGCUCGCUAAAAGCAUGCAUGCUUUUCAAUAUUUUAUAAAAAUAAGAAUAGAAUAAGAAUAUUAAUAAAAAUUAAAAUAUUUUAAAUAAAAAUUAUA